UGAUGAUACAGCUGCCUGGACAGUGAGAAAGCCACUGUAGAGAAAACUGCGUCCCCCUGUUCACCUGAACUACUGGAGAUAUACGGUAAUUUUCCUGUUUCAAAGGGAAAAGAAUGCCUACCACAAACAGCAGCUGCAACCACCAGACUGUCAAGGCUAGGGCCUCUAUCUACUGCUGACUGACUGGACAACCCGAGGGGGUGAAAAAGGAAGACCCGGGGCAAGAUGUUUGCAGAACUCACGGUAGAGUCCCACACAGGCCAGCUGAGAAGUGGAGGUUGUACAUGAGCAUCCAGAGGGAGGAAGAAAUGCAGCUGUCUCAGGAAGUCGUGGCUGCGGCCAAGAACAUGGCCACGGAGAGCAUGGAAAAAAAAAGACGGGGCGAUUCAGAGGCUGCCCUGGACGCUAUGCUGCCCGUGAAUGCUCUCCUUCACAACAUGCUCUUGCUCAGCCAACAGGCUCUGCAGCACCAUAAUCUGUGACCCAGCCACAUCCUUCAGCCCCUGGACAACACCGGGUACUGGGACCUCCCCGCCGUACUCCUGCAGCAGUGCUCCUUGAGAGUGUUCCCUUUUAAAACGAGCACGGAGACCUCUAGCACUGGGAGCCCUGCUCUUUUGAGACCCACAACACCCUGACAGUUUUGAGCAGCAGCACUCAACUCCAGAACCCACGUGGACAAGAAGAGCCAGAGGGAAAUCACACAUGUGCCUUCCCUGUAACUCUGAGCACCCCCCUGUGAAUCUUCCCAAGAGUACCCGCAGUUGAGAGGCACCAAUACCACCUACCCUUAGUGUGAGGAAACUUGGUGUAUGCCUAUUGUGGGUCAGUUCCCUGCUCCAUCAGCCCCUGGCAACAUAAGCACUGCCUGCCUACUCCACAGGCCCUGCUCGCUGUACAGGUUAGUGAUAGGCAUACUCAACCCCCGAGUCCUCCAAGCAUCCCCCUGGAGCACCCAGCUCCAAAUCAACUGGACACUCACAGAAUUCACAGAUCCUCUGCUCCCAAAGGACAGCACGCCCUA